UACGUAGGGGGCUAGCGUUGUCCGGAAUCAUUGGGCGUAAAGAGCGUGUAGGCGGUCCGGUAAGUCCGCUGUGAAAGUCGGGGGCUCAACCCUCGAAUGCCGGUGGAUACUGUCGGGCUAGAGUGCGGAAGAGGCGAGUGGAAUUCCUGGUGUAGCGGUGAAAUGCGCAGAUAUCAGGAGGAACACCUAUUGCGAAGGCAGCUCGCUGGGACGUUACUGACGCUGAGACGCGAAAGCGUGGGGAGCAAACGGG
rnacentral:rRNA from 1 species